rnacentral:rRNA from 1 species
AUUGAACGCUGGCGGCAGGCCUAACACAUGAAAGUCGAACGAGUGGCGGACGGGUGGGUAAUGUCUGGGAAACUGCCUGAUGGAGGGGGAUGACUACUGGAAACGGUAUCUAAUACCGCAUACCAUCAGAUGUGCCCAGAUGGGAUUAGCUAGUGGGGGGGGUAACGGCUCACCAAGGCGACGAUCCCUAGCUGGUCUGAGAGGAUGACCAGCCACACUGGAACUGAGACACGGUCCAGACUCCUAUGGUAGGCAGCAGAGGGGAAGAUUGCACAAUGGGCGCAAGCCUGAUGAAGCCAUGCCGCGUGUAUGAAGAAGUCCUUCGGGGUGUAAAGUACUUUCAGCGGGGAGGCGUUACCCGCAGAAGAAGCACCGGCUAACUCCGUGCCAGCAGCCGCGGUAAUUC